rnacentral:ncRNA from 1 species
UCAAAUGAGAACUUUGAAGAGUGAAGUGGGGAAAUGUUCCAUGUGAACAUCACUUGGACAUGGUCGAUUAGUCGAUCCUAAGAGAUGGGGAAUCCUUGUAUCAAUGGUGCACUUUGCAUGAACAUCGAAAGAUAAUUGGGUUAAUAUUCCCGAACCGGGACAUGGUGGUGGAUGACAAUGUUAGGAAAUCUGGAGAUGUCAUCGGGGGCUGGGGAAGAGUUAUCUUUUCUUUUUAACGACUUUCCCACCCUGAAAUUGGUUCAACCGGAGAUAGGGUCCAACAUCUGGAAGAGCACCACACGUCUUGCAGUUUUUGGUGUCCCCUCAGUGGCCAUUGAAAAUAUGGAGAACUAAGUACCAUCCAUGCCCGAUCGUACUCAUAUCUGCCUCCUUGGAUUUUUCAAUGCCC